rnacentral:lncRNA from 1 species
GAGAGAUUUUCGGCUUGCAAUAGUGUCAUUUACAGAUGGAUUUGCAGCGGCGAAUUACAAGUUUGUAAGCAACAGCUUCUCUGACGCCUCGAAGAAAAAAAAAAAGCCUUAUCCCUUUGCAAAUUAUAAAUUCAUAACUAACAGUGUUAUCCAACUGAAUGCAAAACAAAUUCAUUACCAGCUACAUUAUUCCACUGAAUACCAAGUGAAUGAACCGCACAGGGUUUUGUGCGGAUUAGGGACAUGGCAGGAGAUGGGGCCAAAACAGCCCUCCCCCAGUUCCUCUUUUUUGUGUCCCUUCAGGCCCACCUCAAGCUAACCCCAAACGGAGGCAGAACUGGCUGGAUAAAAGGAGGCUGGAGGCUACGGUGGUGAUGGUGAUCUUCCAAAACACAGCCACGCUGCUGAUGAGGGAACGGACCAGUUCGCACUUGCCCGAGGUCGCCCCGCCCUCCGGUGACACAGCCACCUUCUGUCGGCCGGGACACUCCACCGACCAGGCUCCCACCCUCAGGCGAGCGCAGACCAGGCUCCGGAGUGGGAUCAGGAAGGGCACCGGGGACAUCUGAACCUGUCUUGUCCCACAUUCAAAGCUGGGGUGGAGGAGGCAUGCUUGGGGGCUUGAGCCUGUGACUGAGCAUGAUGGGGACAUCAGCUUCGCCCUCCAAAUGCCCAUCACCGGAUGCCACAUCUCGGGCCACAGCAGGGCCCCAUCCUCUGCCCUCUGCAUCCAGUAGAGGUGCAGUGUCAGAAGGAGCACACCCGCAGAGGAGCAGAGCCAGGGAGGAGACCAGAACCCGUGCCAGAGGAGUAUGUGACUUGGAGUUCAGAAGACCCAGGGGGACCUGAGAACUGCCUUCAAGGAAGCAGAGGGAUUUGUUUUCUCGACUGUAAGUCUCCACUGAGGGCUACUCUGCCAGGUGCUGGGAGUGUAUGGCCCCAGUCCCUGUGGGGGUCCCAGAGUGGCAGAGGCGGUGGGCAGGAACAUGUUAUGUUUAUAACUAAUGCUGCUGCAGGGAAUGCUUUAGGGACGGGGCCACGUCGUCCUGAUGGGAGUUGUAGGAGACAAUCAAUUGGCCUGAUUUGGAGCUAGGGGGUUUGCUGGCUCCCUGAGGCAAGGAUGCAAAGACUCCUCUGGAGUUGAGUUUGGCCCUUCGGUGUUUAUUCAAGAUGGCACCCGGGCUCCUGGGCACCCAUUGUCCUUGACUCUGCUUCCUGAAUUAGGGCCCCUGUGUGGCCUGGGCGGGGGACGAGUGGCCCACUGGGCUGACCUCCCAGAAGGCAGGGGUUGCGUUUUCCCUUUCUUCUAACUACCCAGAGCUAGAAGACCAUGGUUGUCCAUGGGUUGUGGGUUGAAGGUCCCGGGCAGUACAGCAGCAUUCUGUCCCCCUUCCUUGAGAGAUAGAUAGCCGUCAGCUUCCUCUCCUCUCCCGUCCCCCUCUUCAUGUGGGCUGAGUCCUAGACAUCUUUAGGUGAUUGAAGACUGCUUUGUAACACUGCCACGGGGUGGAUUCAGACUUGUUGAUGUGAUACUUGAGCUUUCUUAGUCUGCCAGAGCUGAGUUCCACGUACCUGCACACACACACACACACACACACACACACACACUCCUUAACACGAAUACAUGCCGGCUCUCAUUGUGAGGGCCCCACUCUUUAUUCAAGCAGCGGUCUCGGGUGUCUGAAUGGAUGCUUGAAGACUCCCUCUUUGCAAUUAACACGCUGCUGCAGUAUUAUUAGCCUCUGAUAGGCAGGUCUGCCUUUGCCAGAGACUAUAAAUAUGUGGGGCCAAUGACUCAGCAAAUCUGUUGCUAUUUUUCUUGCAGAUCCGUGUGGAUCUGUCUGUGUACACGAUGGCCCCCUCUCCCAGCAGCUCCCAUGGCUUGUAUCCAUGGAAACGCAAUCCUCCCAACUACAGUACUCUGGCUGACAAACACCGGGAGUCUCCCCAGCCCCCUACCCACUUUGGAGAGGGAACGUGGACCUGGAGAGCUCCCGGUGAGCAAGAGGGUGGCCCCGAUGGAGGAGGUGCCACUUUCUCAGUUGCUUUGAAGGUCUAGGCAAGGCUGGCCUCUAACCGCCCUACCCCCGCAA